rnacentral:lncRNA from 1 species
GGAUGGGUGAUUCAGUCUCCAGCACAAGAGCGGAAAGACAGACAGACAGUUUCUGUAAGAAAGGCUGAAUCCGAGAAGCUUUCCUGUGCCUGUCUGUCAUCAACCUUGUUAUACUGGUUAGGGCAUUAUUAAUUUCUUCUUAAAACAUUUUUACACAGGCUUGUUCUUACCUAUGUGGAAAAUAAGUCAAGUAAAAUAAAUUGCCCCCGUUAUCUGAUUUUUUAAAUUAUGCGUUAUUGAGCCUCUUCUGCUCUUGCAGAAGACCCAGCUUUGGUUCCCAGCACCCACUUGUGGUGGCUUCAUAACCACCUAUAAGUCUAGCUCCAGCAAGCCAACAUCUUCUUCUGCCUUCUACAGCCACCUGCACGCCUAUGUACAUACUCCCACACACAAUUAAAUAUAAGUAUUUUACAUUACUGGAUUAUCUAUAUUAGAUAGCCUAUUGUUUAUAGUUCAGGUGCAAGAAGAGCGAUCACGUUAACAGGCUCUAGGAAAGGUUUGGAGCCGGUGAGAAACACCACCACAGUGCUGACCACAGCAGAGCUUGCUGACUCACCAGUAUUCAUCAGAGAAGCUGGAAUAUUACAGCUAGCUGGCUGUGGUGGCACAUGCCUAAAGUCCCAGCACCCAGGAGGCAGAGUCACCAGGAUCUGAGUUCAAGACCAAUCUGAUCUACAUAGUGAGACCCUUUCUCAAAAAAAUAAAAAAAUUACAUUUUCUUCAGAUAGCCACGUGCACACACACACACACACACACACACACACACACACACACACACACACAUUGUUCCUUAGCACCAUUCUCUCUAAACAGAUACUUGAUAAGAAAUUUUAACUAUAAUUUUUUAAAAUUUUAUUAUACAUUUUUAUUAUAAAACUCUGCCUAGCAGUUGUUUGGCUGGAAUUCUUCAAGCAGCCCAUAGCCCAGCAGGGGUUAAGUGAAGCCCUGUGCCUCAGGAACAGCUGCCCACUGCCUGCAGCCUCUUCCCCUCUGUCCUCUGCCCCUUGAGGCAGCUACUAAAAUGCAAAGCUUUGGUGUGGCUAUCAUCAAUGCAUCCAGAGCCAGCCUCUUCUAGUGCUUAUAACACUAUAAAGCAGGCAUUGUGUGUCAUGCUGUAAUGUAAGCGACGAAGGAAACUGUUUUUCUUUUAACUACAGAUUUGGUCCAUCUUCUUGGGAAUCGGUGGCCAAUGAGGAGAUGUGGCAAGCAAGGUGAGUGAUCUACAUUUUAUUAUUUGCAGCCUGUUUUUUAAUAUGUGAAGGAAUAGCCCAUGGUACUUUUUGUUCUGGGACUGUGGAUGAGUGGGAAUAAAAAUAACUUCAGAACAGCUAUUUGGUUCAAGACAUUGUAUUACUAUGCAUGUGUAAUACAUAGUAAUAUUAAUAAUCUUCAUAAUAACCUGUGAAGCUCUGUUAUCUCCAUUUUAUAAAAGAGCGAGGCAGACAGAUUUCCAAGGGCCCGUAAUGACAGUGAUGGAGUCCAGAGCUCAGUGUAACCCCGAGGCAUCCUGACUCCUGGGCUCUGUUCUGUAAUUAGGCAAUACAGCCAUGGCUCCAUUCGUGCUAUGCCAGUUUGUCAUUAACACACUCAGCUAAUGCUUACAGAGGCCAGGCGGUGUGCCAGGCCAGAAGCUACACAGGACGGUGACAGUCCCUGCCCUCAUGGAGCACAGUUUGUCACAGCAGACUACAUGAAAAGACAUCACCCGCUACUCACAGAGACUGCUCACAGAGAGAGGCACGCUGUUCCAGAUGGAUCACUUCUUGGUGGCACUGCUGCUUUUUCUUGGUCUCUGUCAUUAUUUUUGAAUAAUCAACCAACAGGAGCCGGCAAGAUGGCUUCGAGGGUAAAGGCACUUGCUGCCAAGCCCAGUGACUUGAGUUGAUCCUUGGAACCCACAGGUUCCAUAAAUUGUCCUCUAGUUACCAUAUUUAAGAUACAGCUUGCAGACUCACACAGAUGC